rnacentral:ncRNA from 1 species
ACUGCAAGUGACACCAAAGUUGAAAAGAACUUUGAAGAGAGAGUUCAAGAGGGUGUGAAACCAUUAAGAGGUAAACUGGUGGGGUCCACGCAGUCCACCCAGAGGAUUCAACCCGGCGGCGGCCCUUGGAUGGUAUGAGGCCGGUAGUGGCCCCCAGCGCGCUGGGCCCGCUUCUUCCCAGAGUUGGGUUGCUUGGGAAUCCAGCCCAAAGCAGGUGGUAAACUCCAUCUAAGGCUAAAUACCGGCAUGAGACUGAUAGUCAACAAGUACCAUAAGGGAAAGUUGAAAAAAACUUUGAAGAGAGAGUUCAAGAGGGCGUGAAACCAUUAAGAGGUGGGGGGGGCCCAAGUCCUUCUGAUCAAGG